rnacentral:rRNA from 1 species
GAUGAACGCUGGCGGCGUGCCUAAUACAUGCAAGUAGAACGCUGAAGGAGGAGCUUGCUCUUCUGGAUGAGUUGCGAACGGGUGAGUAACGCGUAGGUAACCUGCCUGGUAGCGGGGGAUAACUAUUGGAAACGAUAGCUAAUACCGCAUGACAACAGUUAUUGCAUGAUAACUGUUUAAAAGGAGCAACUGCUCCACUACCAGAUGGACCUGCGUUGUAUUAGCUAGUUGGUGAGGUAACGGCUCACCAAGGCGACGAUACAUAGCCGACCUGAGAGGGUGAUCGGCCACACUGGGACUGAGACACGGCCCAGACUCCUACGGGAGGCAGCAGUAGGGAAUCUUCGGCAAUGGACGGAAGUCUGACCGAGCAACGCCGCGUGAGUGAAGAAGGUUUUCGGAUCGUAAAGCUCUGUUGUAAGAGAAGAACGAGUGUGAGAGUGGAAAGUUCACACUGUGACGGUAUCUUACCAGAAAGGGACGGCUAACUACGUG